rnacentral:lncRNA from 1 species
CAAAGAAGAAUCAAAUAACAUUCAUGGAUAAAAACAUAGAUUUGAUCAUAAACUAAAAGUUCAUCGGAUCCCAACAAACACACCGCAAAAGGACUUACAUCAUAUGGAUCUCCAAGAGACCAUUGUACUGAUAAUCAAGAGAGAGAGGAAGGCAUCUAGCUACUAACUACGGACCCAUAGGUCUACAAAGAACUACUCACACAUCAUCGGAGAGGCACCAAUGGACAUGAUGAACCCCUUCGUGAUGGUGUCUCGAUUGGAUCUGGUGUUUUUGGACUCUGCGGUGGCUGGAAUUGAUUUUCGUCCCCCUCCUCAGGGUUUCUGGAAUAUAGGGGUAUUUAUAGAGCAAAGAGGCGGUGCGGGAGGCCAACGAGGAGGUCACAAUCCACCCGGGUGCUCCUGGACCCCCAGGCGCGCCCUCGUGGGUUGUGCACCGAUCGGAGCUCCCCUCAGGUGCGUUCCUGGCCCACUGGAUGACUUCUGGCCAAAAAAAUCCACAAAAAGUUUCGCUGCGUUUGGACUCCUUUGGUAUUGAUUUCCCGCGAUGUCAAAAACAUGCAGAAAAAAACAACUGGUACUAGGCA